GACGAACGCUGGCGGCGUGCUUAACACAUGCAAGUCGAACGGAAAGGCCCUGCUUUUGUGGGGUGCUCGAGUGGCGAACGGGUGAGUAACACGUGAGUAACCUGCCCUUGACUUUGGGAUAACUUCAGGAAACUGGGGCUAAUACCGGAUAGGAGCUCCUGCUGCAUGGUGGGGGUUGGAAAGUUUCGGCGGUUGGGGAUGGACUCGCGGCUUAUCAGCUUGUUGGUGGGGUAGUGGCUUACCAAGGCUUUGACGGGUAGCCGGCCUGAGAGGGUGACCGGCCAAAUUGGGACAGAAAUACGGCCCAGACUCCUACGGGAGGCAGCAGUGGGGAAUAUUGCACAAUGGGCGGAAGCCGGAUGCAGCACCGCCGCGUGCGGGAUGACGGCCUUCGGGUUGUAAACCGCUUCCGCCGGUAACGAAGCGGGAGUGACGGUAAUGGGUAAAGAAGCACCGGCUAACUACGUG
rnacentral:rRNA from 1 species